ACUUGGAGGAUGUAUAGUUAAGGCUAUAUGUGUUUAUUAAAAAUACAUAGACGAUUUAUUCGUAUAAAAUUCUAGGUAGAAUAAUGAUAAUGACAUUGUCUAUCUAUAAGUCUUGACCAACAUGCGUGCCAGCAGUCGCGGCAAGACGCUAAAGACUAGUGUUAUUCAUCUUUAAUAGGUUUAAAGCGUACCUAGACGGUAAAUAAAGCCUUAACCGGGACUAAUUUAACUAGAGUUAGAUGUAAGGGUGCAUUAACGUACUGUUGAGUGUAGAGAUGAAAUUCUUUGAUACCAGAUGAUUGGCACGGGUUUAGGCGAAAGCAUCACCUUAUGUAAUAACUGACGUUGAGGAACGAAGGCUUUGUGUCGCGAACAGGAUUAGAUACCCCAGUAGUCUAAGCAGAAAAUGAUGAGUGUCAUAGGUUAAAUAUUGUUUAACCUAUAAAUGAAAGUGUAAGCAUUCCACCUCAAGAGUAAUUUGGCAACAUUGGAAUUGAAAUCAUUAGACCGUUUCUGAAACCAGUAGUGAAGUAUGUUGUUUAAUUAGAUAAUACACAAAGAACCUUACCACAAUUUGAAUAUUUUACAAGCGUUGCACGGCUGUUUUCAGUUAAUGUCGUGAGAUUUUGGUUAGUUCCAUUAAAUUAACGUAAACCCUUACUUUAUUUUAUUUCUUAUAAAUAUAAAUAUAUAUUAUUAUAUAAAGUUGUUCACCAUUAUAUUGGUUAGAUAAAAGGGAGUAAGACAAGUCAU
rnacentral:rRNA from 1 species